rnacentral:rRNA from 1 species
GACGAACGCUGGCGGCGUGCCUAAUACAUGCAAGUAGAACGCUGAAGGAGGAGCUUGCUUCUCUGGAUGAGUUGCGAACGGGUGAGUAACGCGUAGGUAACCUGCCUGGUAGCGGGGGAUAACUAUUGGAAACGAUAGCUAAUACCGCAUAAGAGUAGAUGUUGCAUGACAUUUGCUUAGAAGGUGCAAUUGCAUCACUACCAGAUGGACCUGCGUUGUAUUAGCUAGUUGGUGGGGUAACGGCUUACCAAGGCGACGAUACAUAGCCGACCUGAGAGGGUGAUCGGCCACACUGGGACUGAGACACGGCCCAGACUCCUACGGGAGGCAGCAGUAGGGAAUCUUCGGCAAUGGACGGAAGUCUGACCGAGCAACGCCGCGUGAGUGAAGAAGGUUUUCGGAUCGUAAAGCUCUGUUGUAAGAGAAGAACGAGUGUGAGAGUGGAAAGUUCACACUGUGACGGUAUCUUACCAGAAAGGGACGGCUAACUACGUG